rnacentral:tRNA from 1 species
GCCAAUGUAGCUCAGAGGUAGAGCAACCGAUUCGUAAUCGGUAGGUCGCCGGUUCAAAUCCGGCCAUUGGCUCCA